rnacentral:rRNA from 1 species
CCUACGGGCGGCAGCAGUGGGGAAUAUUGGACAAUGGGGGCAACCCUGAUCCAGCCAUGCCGCGUGUGUGAAGAAGGCCCUCGGGUUGUAAAGCACUUUCAGUGAGGAAGAACGCCUGGUGGUUAAUACCCAUCAGGAAAGACAUCACUCACAGAAGAAGCACCGGCUAACUCCGUGCCAGCAGCCGCGGUAAUACGGAGGGUGCGAGCGUUAAUCGGAAUUACUGGGCGUAAAGCGCGCGUAGGUGGCUUGAUAAGCCGGUUGUGAAAGCCCCGGGCUCAACCUGGGAACGGCAUCCGGAACUGUCAAGCUAGAGUGCAGGAGAGGAAGGUAGAAUUCCCGGUGUAGCGGUGAAAUGCGUAGAGAUCGGGAGGAAUACCAGUGGCGAAGGCGGCCUUCUGGACUGACACUGACACUGAGGUGCGAAAGCGUGGGUAGCAAACAGGAUUAGACACCCUAGUAGUC